ACAUGGUAUAGCGCAUGAUCGUACAUACAUACGAGUAAUCUAUAUUUACUAUGCGCUAUGUCGUCGCUCUCCCCCGUUGCUACCACCUCAUCAGCCUCGUCUUCGCGUUCGCCCCUGUUCAGUAUUCGCCCCUGCUCCCGGCUCCCGUCCGAUCGUAGGCUUGCGACCAACGUCGCUUGCAAGUUGCAACGGCGACCGCCGCGCUAGUUUGACUGAUUUGACGUUUCUGUCACGAGUGGUGAGAGGUGCGCGAUUUGGCACGAUCACAGCGGCGACGGCAGAACGGCAGAAGCGGAAGCAAGCUCGAUUUAUUUCGCGUCUAUUACGAGGCUUUUGCCAGUUUUGACUGGGCGAUUACGAUCGAUUCAACGGCAUCGAUAAUUUCCUCGGAUUCCCUUUCCUCACGAACGACGGUCGUCACACCAUCGUUCGCCCUCUCAUCUGUAUGCCUUGCGUACGCCCCCACCGUCGCCGAUUUUCCAUGAAUGUUGAUAUUGUCUUCCCACAACCGUUGGUGAUGCAAAUAUCCUUCCUUGAUUUGAAGUCUGCAAGAUGGUUCUCAUCGUCCAGUUCCAAUUUUAGCUGAGAUUAAUACAGAAAUAGCGAAACGAAUACAGUCCAGCUUGGUGGUAAUGCGGGGAUGUGGAUCUGUUUCGACCCAAUAGGAAGCCGAAUAGGCUGGGGUACUUCCAUUUCGUUCGUCAUACUCUUGUAUUGGACCUCUAUUGAUGCUAGCCUAACGAAUGCAGCGGCGUCCAAUGUCCCUCGUAAUACCGUCACAUCGGAUAUAUCGAUACCAGCGUCGGCACACCACGAGAACGACGAAUGCAGGAAUGUGACCACUGACAAUAGAGAGGGUACUGGACUGUCAGUGGUCAGCCAUGGAUCCGGUUAUCCUCAUUCGCCGAUAGUGCCUCCAACCUUUCUGAACGGAGCUCUUACCUGCCAACCCUAUCAAGGAAUUUACGUGAAUCACAUCUACUUUCAACUUGCAAAUGCCUUCUUCCUAUUGUCACACCUUGCACCAAGCGGCAUACAUGGUGUACUUUAUUUAAGGUGCACUCUACUCGUGGGUUGUGCCUUUCUUGCUUUGUGGGGCUGGACAAUAGCUUGCUGGCUGGAUGCUGCUCUCUGGAAUGCUCUAUUUGUUGCCAUCAACUUCGUCCAUGUAUGCACGCUUCUUUACAAGCUCAGGCCUAUCAAAUUUACAAGGGAAAUCGAAGAGGUAUAUGUUGCAGUAUUCCAGCCAUUACGGGUGUCGCGUCAUCAAUUCAGAAAAGUAUUAAAUUGUAUGAAGAUCAUUCGCCAGUUGAAGUAUCAAGAAGUUUAUGCACAAGAAAAAGUGACCAAAGUCGAUUCUUUAUCGUUGGUGCUGUCGGGAAAACUAGUUGUAUCGCAAAAUGGAAGAGCAUUGCAUAUCGUCUUCCCACAUCAGUUCCUGGAUUCUCCAGAAUGGUUUGGUGUCUCGACAGAUGAAUACUUCCAAGUGUCCAUAACAGCUAUGGAAGAAUCAAGAAUAUUAUUAUGGCACAGAGACAAACUAAAAUUAAGCAUUAUUAGCGAUCAAUUCCUGCAGGCAGUGUUUGAUCACAUUUUGGGCAGAGAUGUAGUUAAAAAAUUGAUGCAGGUGAGUGAAACAAUGGCUGCUAGCAGUCAUCAGCAGCAGAAUGGACAGAUAAUUGGUCUGGGUGGUAUUGGAGCCUUAGAAAAUGAUCCUGAUACAAAACUUUUUGUUGUAAAAAAGACUGGUGAUAGUCAAGGGAUUACUGCUCUCAUCAGUCGUCAACUUCAAGAAGAGAGAAUGCCGCUGCUGUACACGAAUCAAGAAGUAUUGAAUAAUACCCUUCACCAUACGAACCACCUAUGUGUACCAUCCUGUACAUUUCUCCCGCAUCCUAUAUCGAACAGCGUUCAGACUUCGCUGUAAUGUCCUUGCCUACCGAUCGUACAACACUCUAGCACAAAAAUUGUAUGUGAUAUAUGUUCCUGCAAUGGAUGCAUAUAUAUUACACAAAUGUCGCAGAGUAAUUCCAUAAUUGUUGUUCUUCCUGGAUAUUGUAUCAAGAGCGGCAGGAGAUCCGAAUGCUUGGAGAUUGGGAAGAAUCGAAGAGACUGAUCACGAAACACCUGUUUAAUGAAAUGAUUGUUAAAUCGAUGUCAUCCUCGACAGUCAAUAUAACGUAACACCGGUGUUUUUACAUAAUGCAAUUACAGCAAGCUGAUAUUCAUUGUGACUAAAUAAUGUGCAUAUUGAAACUGUGCGUAGAAAAAAUUGAACUUUCUCUUGCCAAUUAAUAAUUUUCUCAGUGGCUAGUCAACUGUAUGAUAAUAAGAGAAAAUUCCAUCGUUUUGUAGCGUAUGAUAAAUUCCAUUCUAGUUUAUAAAGCAACUAAUCAAUAAGUUUAUGCUUCCAGUGUAUUUGUUGGGUAUGCUUGAACAUAUUGAAUUUAAGAGUGGCUAUAUUUAUAAUUUACUCCGUUAAAAUACCGUUUGGUAUGUUCUAUGAUGAAUGAAUAAUGGAUUAAGACUUUACAAGUAUGCAAGUGUAAUGAAAUGAGGGUGACAUAUUCACAGCGGCGUAACUUCUGUUAAUGGUCUGUGAUGUCGUGGUGGGACUUGAUAGAAGUUAGGGAGGCCUAAAGAAACUGAUUCUUUCCCAUACCCGGAAAUAGUGCCUUUUUACUUACACUUCCUUUCUUAAUGUUUCCAUGAAGAAAAUAUGUACAAUAUACUACUAUAUGCGCCAUAAUAUAUAACUUAUAUAUUUAUCCAAUGUAUCUCGUAGAGUUCUCCAAAUGUCGCUAUAUUACAUGUUUGAAGAUUCAUGUUGUGAUACUGUUAAGCAACCGAUGUUCACGAGUCAAAGAGGCACAAGAAGUUACGCCAUUAUUAACGCAUUGAAUAUUACGAAGUAUAAUAUAAAGAACAUUGUUGCGAGAUUUAUAUCGCUACAUUGCUGCUAGAGACGUCGAAUCGCGUAUACAACUUUCGAUACUUAACAUAAAAAAUUAUUACGAAUUGCUACAGGAUAAUAUUGUAAUUACAAUCACAAUGCAUUGAUAUACUUAACAUCAAGUUAAUUAUUUCAUUAUUAUUUUAUUUAUUUACA